GAGUGCGUAGCUCAGCUGGUAGAGCACCUGACUUUUAAUCAGGUGGCCCUGGGUUCGAAUCCCAGCGCGCUCACCA
rnacentral:tRNA from 1 species